GUGCAGCGCCGCGGUAAUACCGGCAGCCCGAGUGAUGGCCGAUCUUAUUGGGCCUAAAGCGUCCGUAGCUGACCGCACAAGUCCGUCGGGAAAUCCGCCCGCUCAACGGGCGGCCGUCCGGCGGAACCUGUGUGGCUUGGGACCGGGAGGCCUGAGGGGUACGAUCGGGGUAGGAGUGAAAUCCCGUAAUCCCGAACGGACCACCGAUGGCGAAAGCAUCUCGAGAAAACGGAUCCGACAGUGAGGGACGAAAGCCAGGGUCUCCAACCGGAUUAGAUACCCUUGUAGUCC
rnacentral:rRNA from 1 species